rnacentral:lncRNA from 1 species
CUGAGUUUUCUAUUUCUGUCUUCCGUUCUACAUGUGGUAAGCCACUGAGUUUUCUAUUUCUCUCUUACGUUCAGCUGUUUUUUCUUCCCUUCCGGCCUGCUCUUCAUGAGCCUUCUGUUGCAUUAUUUACUUUAUUGGUGGAUCAUCAAACAACACUUAAUAGCUGGAUCUUUGGCAACAGAAACAGAUGUUUAGCUCAUUAAUUGUAAGAAAUCAAAGUUUGGUGGCCUAAGUGACAUUUUGCGAUAAGUUAGUGACUAGUGAGGUCAUUUACCUGUGAAUCUGCUUCACCUGAGCCGUUGUUAAAUUUCUAAAGACCUUGUCUAAGUUGAAGAUUUUCUAAAGAAUUCAAGGUUUUCCUUGGACAGGCAGAGGAGAGCUUCAAUGAGAAGGAAACCGGCAUAAGGCGAGGGAAAGGCCGUGGCCGCGGGAGGGGACGAGGGCGUGGCCACCACAAUAACCGCAAUGGAGGGAACCACCAUGUUGGCACUCCGCCCUCUAGCCACCCGAUUCACAACGAGCCACCAGCUGGUGCAAAUAAACAGCCUCCCGGACCUCGGAUGCCAGAUGGGACAAGAGGAUUCACGAUGGGCAGGGGAAAGCUGCU